AUAGCGUAUAUUAAAGUUGUUGCAGUUAAAAAGCUCGUAGUUGAACCUUGGGCCUGGCUGGCCGGUCCGCCUCACCGCGUGCACUGGUCCGGCCGGGCCUUUCCUCCUGGGGAGCCGCAUGCCCUUCACUGGGUGUGUCGGGGAACCAGGACUUUUACUUUGAAAAAAUUAGAGUGUUCAAAGCAGGCCUAUGCUCGAAUACAUUAGCAUGGAAUAAUAGAAUAGGACGUGCGGUUCUAUUUUGUUGGUUUCUAGAACCGCCGUAAUGAUUAAUAGGGAUAGUCGGGGGCAUCCGUAUUCAAUUGUCAGAGGUGAAAUUCUUGGAUUUAUUGAAGACGAACUACUG
rnacentral:rRNA from 1 species